UACGAAGGGGGCUAGCGUUGCUCGGAAUCACUGGGCGUAAAGCGCACGUAGGCGGCUUCUUAAGUCAGGGGUGAAAUCCUGGAGCUCAACUCCAGAACUGCCUUUGAUACUGAGAGGCUCGAGUCCGGGAGAGGUGAGUGGAACUCCGAGUGUAGAGGUGAAAUUCGUAGAUAUUCGGAAGAACACCAGUGGCGAAGGCGGCUCACUGGCCCGGUACUGACGCUGAGGUGCGAAAGCGUGGGGAGCAAACAGGG
rnacentral:rRNA from 1 species